CGAAGUCCUCGUACGUCACUCCAUCUUUUGCCAUUGUUGGUAAUUGGUAUGGUUUGUUGUCGUGCGGCAAUCCAAUUGAAUGCAGAUAAUUUUGGUUAGGGCAAUCCUCGCCAUGCUCUGUUCCUUGCUCUCUAUGACGAUAAUCCUGCCUUGGAGGGGAUGUGACUGCGCUAAUUCAAUGCCUUUCGCUUUAGAAUUACAAAUAUUCUUACUUACAUUGAUUCCUUAACCUUUGAUCCCGCAAACCCUACGGAAAGUCGACUUCCAGUAUUGGUGUGAAGUAACUAAUCUUGAUCUGUCGUCAAAGCCCACAGAGAAAGAGCAGAUGUGAGGAACACCAAAAUCGAAGACGAAGAGGCAUUCUCGAAAACGCGAUUACGCUGAAAUCGGGGAACUAAAUCCUAAUCUGCCUUUACGGCGAUUUACGAUUAAAUUGCAAUAUCCAAACACCAUUUAUGUAAAUCAUAUCUUUGACAUGCGAUUUCUUUCUAUUCUCACGACAUCAGGCGUUUUACUC